rnacentral:lncRNA from 1 species
UUUUUUUUUCUCAAGGAUAAAUGUUUGGUGAAUUACUUGAAAAUAAUUUCUUAUUUCACCAAUUUUAUAAUCAUUUAUAACUCACAAUCUGCUCCAAUCCACUUGUUACUCAUAUAUUGAGCACUAAGGGCUGGGCAGCAUAACGUGGACUGUUUAUUAAUGUUGUUUUUCUCAUUUAUACACGAAGGUUUAGUGAUUAUUAUUUGACAUUCUGGUUCAACCUUUGACUAGGUCUUUCCAAUUUUUUUAAUUACCUUUUGUUGAAAUACAAAAGUCCUAUAUUCGAAA